rnacentral:rRNA from 1 species
CUGAUGACGCUGGCGGCGUGCCUAACACAUGCAAGUCGAACGGUAACAGGGACUUCGGUCCGCUGACGAGUGGCGCACGGGUGAGUAACGCGUGGAGUUACCUGCCCAUCAGUGGGGAACAACUCCGGGAAACSGGAGCUAAUACCGCAUACGACCUUCGGGUGAAAGAGGGGGAUCUUCGGACCUCUCGCUGAUGGAUGGUUCCGCGUCCGAUUAGUUAGUUGGUAAGGUAAUGGCUUACCAAGACGAUGAUCGGUAGCUGGUCUGAGAGGAUGAUCAGCCACACUGGAACUGAGACACGGUCCAGACUCCUACGGGAGGCAGCAGUGGGGAAUUUUGCACAAUGGGCGAAAGCCUGAUGCAGCGACGCCGCGUGCGGGAAGAAGGCCUUCGGGUUGUAAACCGCUUUCAACAGGGAAGAAGGAAUGAGGGCCAAUACCCCUCUGCCUUGACGGUACCUGUAGAAGAAGCCCCGGCUAAUUUCGUGCCAGCAGCCGCGGUAAUACGAAAGGGGCAAGCGUUGUUCGGAUUUACUGGGCGUAAAGAGAUCGUAGGUGGCUUGUUAAGUCGGAUGUGAAAUCCCGGGGCUCAACCCCGGAACUGCAUUCGAUACUGGCAGGCUUGAGUUCGGGAGGGGGAAGCGGAAUUCCGUGUGUAGCAGUGAAAUGCGUAGAUAUACGGAGGAACACCUGAGGCGAAGGCGGCUUCCUGGACCGAUACUGACACUGAGGAUCGAAAGCGUGGGUAGCAAACAGGAUUAGAUACCCUGGUAGUCCACGCCCUAAACGAUGUCUACUAGCCGUUGCGGGUAUCGACCCCUGCAGUGGCGCAGCUAACGCGAUAAGUAGACCGCCUGGGGAGUACGGCCGCAAGCGCACU